rnacentral:rRNA from 1 species
UAGAGUUUGAUCCUGGCUCAGGAUGAACGCUAGCGACAGGCUUAACACAUGCAAGUCGAGGGGCAGCGGGUAGAUGAGCUUGCUCAUUUAUGCCGGCGACCGGCGCACGGGUGAGUAACACGUAUGCAACCUGCCCGUCUCAGGGGGAUAAUCGUCGGAAACGGCGUCUAAUACCCCGUAUGAAGCUGGACGGCAUCGUCUGGUUUUGAAAGAAUAUCGGAGACGGAUGGGCAUGCGGCGCAUUAGCUGGUUGGCGGGGUAACGGCCCACCAAGGCAACGAUGCGUAGGGGUUCUGAGAGGAAGGUCCCCCACACUGGUACUGAGACACGGACCAGACUCCUACGGGAGGCAGCAGUGAGGAAUAUUGGUCAAUGGGCGAGAGCCUGAACCAGCCAAGUCGCGUGAGGGAGUACUGCCCUAUGGGUUGUAAACCUCUUUUGUCGGGGAGCAAAAGCCGGACGUGUCCGUCUGUGAGAGUACCCGAAGAAAAAGCAUCGGCUAACUCCGUGCCAGCAGCCGCGGUAAUACGGAGGAUGCGAGCGUUAUCCGGAUUUAUUGGGUUUAAAGGGUGCGCAGGCGGAUUUUUAAGUCAGCGGUCAAAUCGUGGGGCUCAACCCCAUCCAGCCGUUGAAACUGGGGAUCUAGAGUGUGCGAGAGGUAUGCGGAAUGCGUGGUGUAGCGGUGAAAUGCAUAGAUAUCACGCAGAACCCCGAUUGCGAAGGCAGCAUACCGGUGCACAACUGACGCUCAGGCACGAAAGCGUGGGUAUCGAACAGGAUUAGAUACCCUGGUAGUCCACACAGUAAACGAUGAAUACUAAUUGUUCGGGGAGAAUGAUCCCUGAGUGAUACAGCGAAAGCGUUAAGUAUUCCACCUGGGGAGUACGCCGGCAACGGUGAAACUCAAAGGAAUUG